rnacentral:tRNA from 1 species
GGUCUCUUAGUUCAGCGGCCUAGAACUCUGGCGUGAAGCCGGUAACGUCGGUUCGAAUCCGGCAGAGACUA